CAUCAAUGACCAAACCUCCGAAGAAGGAAGCUAGGGAGGUGGGGGUCAUGACCCAUGGGUGCCGCACCAUGGGCGACGGCGUAGGUAGUCGGAAAAAGGAGGAAGAAGGCUCGUUCAAAACAGAGAAAAAUAGGAUCUUGCUUUUUUAUGGAUUUUCUAACGAACUCGAUGGUCGGCGGGGGUGAGCGAUACCAUGAGAAGGAGGAGAAGGA
rnacentral:lncRNA from 1 species